rnacentral:misc_RNA from 1 species
AAGUCGUAACAAGGUUUCCGUAGGUGAACCUGCGGAAGGAUCAUUAACACUUUCUUUCAAUACUAACCUUGUCGCUCCCGCCUUGGCCACCGGCUUGAAAUCUGGUGGUGAGCUUAUUUCGAUAAGCCUCGGAGGGAAAAUAUAUUGAGUCUGAUUGGAUGAAGGUCUGCGGAUCGGGCUUGAAUCUCAUUCGUGGGAUAGGUCUGCAGGCAGCUGCGCCCAGCGCAGUAACUUCACUCUUUCAGAUAUCAGCCCCGACCCGGCUGGCCCUUUUUUUUAACUUGUCAAAUCGUACUGAUUCGGGCUUUUCAGAUUGAGAGGAGCAAUCCUUUCUCUGGAGUCCUUAUGGAGAAAUCCAUUAAAUAACAAAACACAACUCUUAACAGCGGAUAUCUCGGUUCUC